rnacentral:rRNA from 1 species
ACGAACGCUGGCGGCGUGCCUAAUACAUGCAAGUCGAGCGAAGUUUUUCUGGUGCUUGCACUAGAAAAACUUCGCGGCGAACGGGUGAGUAACACGUAAAGAACCUGCCUCAUAGACUGGGACAACUAUUGGAAACGAUAGCUAAUACCGGAUAACAGUAUUUCUCGCAUGAGAGAUAUUUAAAAGUUGGUUAUGCUAACACUAUGAGAUGGCUUUGCGGUGCAUUAGCUAGUUGGUGGGGUAAAGGCCCACCAAGGCGACGAUGCAUAGCCGACCUGAGAGGGUGAUCGGCCACACUGGGACUGAGACACGGCCCAGACUCCUACGGGAGGCAGCAGUAGGGAAUCUUCCGCAAUGGGCGAAAGCCUGACGGAGCAACGCCGCGUGAGUGAAGAAGGAUUUCGGUUCGUAAAGCUCUGUUGUUAGGGAAGAAUGGAUAUGUAGUAACUAUACAUGUAAGAGACGGUACCUAACCAGAAAGCCACGGCUAACUACGUG